GAAUCCAUCCGUCGGUCGGGCUUCACGGUCCGCACUGGUGUGAUGGAUUCCUACCUUCUGAAUAACCAGCAUGUCAUUAAUUUGGUGCGUUGGGGAAGCAGGACUGUUACUUUGAAAAAUUAGAGUGUUUAAAGCAAGCUAACGCUUGAAUACAUUAGCAUGGAAUAAUGAAAUAGGACGUUCGAUCCUAUUUUGUUGGUUUCUAGGAUUGACGUA
rnacentral:rRNA from 1 species